UGUGCGCAGGACAGGGAGCCACACAGUGCUUUAAUCAAUGAAUCACCUACUCUGAGUGUUAGUUAGGCACAAAUCAUUAAUGGUCUAAAAGGGCUGGAAUAAGUAAGCCCAGCUCCAUUUUCAUGGAAGUACAGAUUGUGUCUUUUUCAGGAGGCACGGGAAACCCUUCUUAAGUUUAAAAACAAACUUCUCAACUUUGGCUUCUGAGUAAUGCCACUGAUUUCAUUUUCCAAAGGUCACAGGGGAACUCUCUUCUGCUAUUUCCAAAGAGCAUGACAAAUGUUACUCUAACAAAGAGACAAAUUGUUCAAUGCAAAUCUACUCAGCAAUUACCUUGCCAUAAAGGUAUUUACAGCAGGUACACUAAGAUAAACCAGUUUAUUUCUUACUGUUUUUCUAAGAAAAAAAGAAAAGAAAAGAAAAGAAAAGAAAAGAAAAGAGAAGAGAAAAGAAGAGAAAAAAGAAAAGAGAAAAGCUCUAGUCAUUUUGUGGCUCAGCUGGACCCGAAAGCCCAGGACCACCUACAGCAGAUUGGAGAUGUGGAGAUACCCAGUGUGCAUUGAUGGAUAUCUCACCAUAACACCAGUCAGGCAGUCGCAGGCAACACAUUGGUCCUUCCUGCGAGCUGCACUCCAGCUCAGGUACGUGGCGUGUGCUGUGCUAGGGUGAAGAGAGAAGUGACAACCGAGUGAACACGUUGCAGGCACUGUGCACGUUUGGCUCUCCAACUCAGAGAUAACCCAGAGGAAUGGUCAGACGACUGAGAGACGUAACUGCUCUGRCAACCCAGCUGGGCCACAGGAUAUUUGUAGGAAAUGGAGCUGCAGCAGGGAAAUCUGGACAGUUGGAGCUUCCCUUGUGCAAAAGGACCAGGGCACAAAUGCCAGCUGCUGUGUGUAAAAUUCCUCCUKCCUUUGCUGUAGCAAGCUGCGAACAGCGCUAUGCCUAGUCAAUUAUUUCACCGACAUGUCAUGAACUUUAUSCUUUACCUUUGCAACAACUCUGUAUUUUAAUGUUGCGUUGAGAAUCCUGAGAAAUAAACAUUCUUCUAUGUUACA
rnacentral:lncRNA from 1 species